rnacentral:lncRNA from 1 species
AUCAUUAAUAGUUACUAAGGUCAUGACUUUUAGGUAAAGUUCAUAAAAACUUUUUUUCAGAGGUAGCUUUAAUUCAAGAUUGGGCAAAAGAAUAUUAUAGGAUACAUUAUAUAAUACCUGGCACUGUAGAGAAAAUGUUUUUAUACUCUUGAAUUAAUCCCAUACUUGUCUCAUCAUAUAUGUAUAUAGUUGUUUUUCAUAUUUCAAAGUGAUCGUCUAACAAUGAAUUGUAUUUCCCAGCUUCAAUGAUCAGUGGCUUUUCUCUGACAGCCUCUCUAUGCUAUUUUAUUCUCUUGCAUAAAAAACUCAUUUACUGUGUGUAAAGAGUUUUCAAAUGUGCAGUAAGAAGUAUUUCCAUUCUUCCAGGAUGCCUGCUUCUAGUAUUUAUUGUCAUUCACAUUAUCUCCAUUUAUAUUCUUGUUUCAGGAUGUAUGAAUUUGUUUCAUCUCAGCUGCAAUUUCCUGACAAUAUCUUGAUAUUCUAGGCGUCUGCAUAUUGACUUUAUCUCUUCAGCAGCAUAAUACCUACCAAAGUAUGGCCAACUUAAAGUUUAAUUAACAUAAUGUUGAUUUAUUUCCUCAGAGAUUAUUAACCAAGAUGUAGAAACUGUGUUACAAAAUUGGACCAUUACUAUACUACUGUAAUUUCCUUAGGAUUUCUAGAGAUUAAAAAUAUUCAAUCUACAGUGAAUUAAAUUGCUUUAUUUGUAUCCUUUUCAAGAAGUCAAGAGAAGAAAAAACACAUACAUCUCUUCCAUAGCACCAAAGACCAACUUUUACUGGGUAAGUCACAGAUUCAUAUGUGUCUUUUAAUAGCCAUUUUUUAGAGCAUUUUUAAGUUUACAGCAAAAUUAAGCAGCAAGUACAGAGAUUUCCUACAGGCAAUGAACAGAUGAAGAACCAAUGGAAACGUGUUCAAAAAUUCCUGUGUUAGCUAACAGGCUUCUGGGUGUAUUGCUGUGGUCCACAGAGAAGGCUGGAGAAGGUGCAAGGAGACACUGUAUCAGCUACUACAGCCUUAGAACAAAAUCUGUCCUUUUAAAACAAAAUUGGGUCUGGACUUCAAAACUGUUCCUAUGCAGCUUAUUUUACUUUUGUUUAAUUAAGUAAACAAGAGGGUUUUUUUUUUUCCCUGGGUAGGGUGUAGUAGAUUUCCUAUAUAUCCCCUAGCCCUGCAUGUGCAUAAUCUUUUCCAUUAUCAAUGUCCCCCACCAGACUGGUACAUUUGUAACAAUCAAUAAAUCUACACUGACAUAUGACUACCCAAAGCCAUAGUUUACAUUAAUUUUCACCAUUAUACAUUUUCUGGGUUUUGGACAAAUGUUUAGUGCCAUGUACUCAUCUUUGUGGUAUUGUACAGAAUCGUUUCACGGCCCUAAAAAUCCUCUAUGAUCUACCUGUUCAUUAAUGCCUCCCUUCCAACUCCUGGAAACCACUGAUCUUUAAACCUGCUUUUCACAGAAUAUCAUAUAGGAGGGAUCAUACAGUAGAGAGCCUUUUCAGAAUGGCUUUUUUGUCAGUCAUGUGCAUUUAAGUCUAUUCCAUGUCUUUUCAUAGCUUGAUAGCUCAUUGGUUUUAGCACUGAAUAAUAAACUCUCCAAUGUCUUGACAUACCACAGUUUAUCCUAUUAAAAGACAUCUUAGUUUGUCCUACUAAAGGACAUCUUAGUUUCUUCUAAAUUUUUGGUAAUUAUGCAUAAAGCUACUGCAAGCUUCCAUGUGCAGGUUUUUAUAUGGACCAAGAUUAAUGUGUGUGGACAUUUUCAACUUGUUUGCGUAAAUACCAAGAAAUUCAAUGUCCAAACUAUUCAAAGUGGUUGUAGCAUUUGUAUUCCCACCAGCAAUGAAUCAGAGGUCCUAAUGCUCUACAUAUUUACCAGCAUAUAGUGCUAUCAGCAUUUGAGAUCUUCAUCACUCUAGCAGAUGUGUAGUAGUGCUCCAUUAUUGUAUUAAUUUGCACUUCUUUAAGGAUAUCUUUUUCAUGUUUACUUGUCAUGUAUAAAACUUCUUUGGUGAAGUGUCUGUUCAAGUCUUUUGUUCAUUUUUAAAAACAGGUUGUUUACUUACUAUAGAACUUUAUAAACUCUUAUAUAUUUCAGGUAAUAUUUGCUUCUUCUGUAAAUAUGUUCUGCCAAUUUGUGGUUUGUCUUUUCAUUUUAAACUUAAUGAGUUUUGUUUUCAUAUUCUUUAACACAAAUAAUUUAUAUCCCCCUUUUACUCCUAUUUUUGAGUAUCCUGCUACAGUUUCUGGAAAACAGAAGCAGAUAUUCCCACAUGAGGUCAAAUGAGUGAAAAUAUAAAGUAGUGGGAGGCUCAAGGCUCUAGAGUCAGGCUACCUAGGCUCCAAUCUUGGCUCUCACAUAUCCUCUUAAUAUUUCUGCUAUGGGCUGCACUGUGUUUCCCCAAAAUUCAUACACUGAAGCCUUAAUACUUCAUGUAACUGUUUAAACAUAGGGCCUUUACAAAGGUAACUGGUUAAAUGAGGUCAUAAAGGUGGGGCCUCAUGCAACAGUAGUGAGGUCUUAUGAGAAGAGACACCAAUAAGCUCUCACAUUCUCUUUCCAUGAGUGCACAGAGGAACGGCCACAUGAAGACAGAGGAGAAGCAUUCAUCUGCAAACCAGGGAGAGGGCCAUGGCCAGACACCAGCACCACUAACAUCUCAAUCUUGGAUGCCUAGCAUCCUUAACUGUGAGAAAAUAAAGUCCUGUUGUCUAAGCCAUCUAGUCUGUGGUACUUUAUUAUGACAACGCUAGAAGACU